rnacentral:rRNA from 1 species
UGGGGAAUUUUGGACAAUGGGGGAAACCCUGAUCCAGCCAUCCCGCGUGUGCGAUGAAGGCCUUCGGGUUGUAAAGCACUUUUGGCAGGAAAGAAACGUCGCGGGUUAAUACCCCGCGAAACUGACGGUACCUGCAGAAUAAGCACCGGCUAACUACGUGCCAGCAGCCGCGGUAAUACGUAGGGUGCAAGCGUUAAUCGGAAUUACUGGGCGUAAAGCGUGCGCAGGCGGUUCGGAAAGAAAGAUGUGAAAUCCCAGAGCUUAACUUUGGAACUGCAUUUUUUAACUACCGGGCUAGAGUGUGUCAGAGGGAGGUGGAAUUCCGCGUGUAGCAGUGAAAUGCGUAGAUAUGCGGAGGAACACCGAUGGCGAAGGCAGCCUCCUGGGAUAACACUGACGCUCAUGCACGAAAGCGUGGGGAGCAAACAGGAUUAGAUACCCUGGUAGUCCACGCCCUAAAACGAUGUCAACUAGCUGUUGGGGCCUUCGGGCCUUGGUAGCGCAGCUAACGCGU